rnacentral:rRNA from 1 species
UGCCAGACUCCUACGGGAGGCAGCAGUGGGGGAUAUUGCACAAUGGGGGGAACCCUGAUGCAGCGACGCCGCGUGGGUGAAGGAGUGCUUCGGCAUGUAAAGCCCUAUCGGCAGGGAAGAAGCAAGACGGUACCUGACUAAGAAGCCCCGACUAACUACGUGCCAGCAGCCGCGGGAAUACGUAGGGGGCAAGCGUUAUCCGGAUUUACUGGGUGUAAAGGGAGCGUAGACGGAUGGAUAAGUCUGAAGUGAAAGCCCGCGGCUCAACUGCGGGACUGCUUUGGAAACUGUGCAUCUUGAGUACGGGAGGGGCAGGCGGAAUUCCUGGUGUAGCGGUGAAAUGCGUAGAUAUCAGGAGGAACACCGGCGGCGAAGGCGGCCUGCUGGACCGAAACUGACGUUGAGGCUCGAAAGCGUGGGGAGCAAACAGGAUUAGAUACCCUAGUAUU